UGUAGUGGUCAGGGAAGACAAAAUACUGCUGACCGUCCUUUUUCCAGAUGUCCGUGAUGGUCGCACCUUUACCUUGAAGGCAGAAAGUUCUAAAGAUUUGUUCGAGUGGAAAACAUCACUGGAAGUAGCUCUUGCACAAGCUCCAAAUGCAGCUCUUAUGAUGGGGCAUAAUGGAAUAUUUCGCAAUGACACAACAGAUGUGUAUGAAGAGGCUAUUCCAAAUUGUUGGUUCCCUUACAGUUUACACUAUCAUCAUGUGACAUGCUCCUCUUCGCUAUAAACUUAAUUAUAUAUCUGAAUUUUUUCCAUAUGUUUCGUCUACUGACUGCAGGGAGAGAGAAGAGACCUACCAAAUCCUAUGAGCUUGCGUUUUACAAAGUUUGGUAACAGAUUUGUCAUUUUCUAUUAACAGGUUGCAGUGAGUCAAUUGGAAGAAUAUUCUGAAACGAGCGGGCACUUAGUUCACACCAAGGUUGCAUUUUUUGGGUUAUCUUUUUUCCAUCCUUCGUUUUCAACUUAUGAUCCGAUUAUCAGAGAACACCUUGAUGGCUCACCUAUCAACGUUUCUUCCAGCACUUAUGGAUGCUAAGGUGGUACGUUCUUUCGUUCCUCUGGUGUACGUUCUCUGGUGGCGACGACUGGGCUGCCUCCUCCUCCUCCACUACCUCCGCGUGAACAUAGUUAACUUCUGUUUCUACAGGUUAAUAAGGUACAGACAAAGAAGGCGCCUACUCCCAAGAUUGCUAAACAAGAGUCCAGUGAUGAUGACACCAGCGACGAGACCUCUGAAUCUGAUGAGGAACCUGCAAAGAAGCCUGCUGCUAAACCCUUGGUCUCAGUUGUGAAAAAUGGUUCGAAGAUGGUCAAGCAAGAGAGCAGCAGCGAUGAGGACAAUUCUGAAGACGAGUCGAAUGACGACAGUGAUGAUGUGAGUUGAAGUUUCCUGUUUAUCUUAUGUAUUGUGCACAGUUAAUUUCAUUUACCACCAUGGCAACACAGAUUAAUGGUUUAGUUGUCAUUACCCUAGGAAUUUGGUAGCCAACCAAUUGAUUAUU